rnacentral:rRNA from 1 species
GUCAGCAACCAUACCACCUGCAUUUUAGAGUAGGUAAUCUAUCUGAGGUUAAGCAGGUUUGGGCCUGGUCAGUACUUGGAUGGGAGGCCAACUAGGACAGCUGGGUUGCUGCUGGAA